UACGUAGGGUGCGAGCGUUAAUCGGAAUUACUGGGCGUAAAGCGUGCGCAGGCGGUUUGCUAAGACCGAUGUGAAAUCCCCGGGCUUAACCUGGGAACUGCAUUGGUGACUGGCAGGCUAGAGUAUGGCAGAGGGGGGUAGAAUUCCACGUGUAGCAGUGAAGUGCGUAGAGAUGUGGAGGAAUACCGAUGGCGAAGGCAGCCCCCUGGGCCAAUACUGACGCUCAUGCACGAAAGCGUGGGGAGCAAACAGG
rnacentral:rRNA from 1 species